CAAAUUUAUCUUGGUUUUCAGGUUGAUUGGAGCGAAGGACGGUAAUCAUGGAUGAUUGAAAAUCGGUAGAAUUAAAAAGGGAGUUAAGUGGAACGUCUUGGUACUAUAUACGGAUAAAAAUAUCUUGGAAAAGAAGAAAUCGUUGAGAGGAAUAGAAAUCGGUCCCAUUUUCCAGCGAUGAAGAGAACGAAUCGACGAAUGAAACGAAUGAAGAGAAAAAGAUUAUUUGGGACGAUUCUUCGAUUCGUCUAAUAUCAAUUCUACGAGAUCAACUUGCAGGACAUGUUUCGCUGUUAAACAAAAGAAAAAGAAAUUUUCAAGCGGACUUAUAUUGGAGAUUAUCAUGGGAUGAGAAACGAUGAAACUUUCUGGAUUGUUGUAACACGAUAUAUUUUUUACAGUCGUCUUAUCGUAAAAUUUCAAGAGGUCUUUUUGAAAACGUGGCUAACCCACUGGAAA